GACAGAGGUCCCGAGCGUUAGGCGGAAUCACUGGGCUUAAAGCGUGUGUAGGCGGCGGCCUAAGUACCUUGUGAAAUCCCACGGCUCACCCGUGGAACUGCUCGGUAUACUGGGUCGCUUGAGCCACUUAGGGGCUACCGGAACAAAUGGUGGAGCGGUGAAAUGCGUAGAUAUCGUAAGGAAGACCAGUGGCGAAGGCGGGUCUCUGGACAGUUCCUGACGCUGAGGCACGAAGGUCAGGGGAGCAAACGGG
rnacentral:rRNA from 1 species